rnacentral:rRNA from 1 species
AUGGGCAACAGCCUGCGGUGCUGCCUGACCUGCAUGCUCCCCUGCGGCUCCUUCGACGUGGUCCGCAUCGUCCACCUCAGCGGCCGCGUCGACGAGUUCAGCUGCCCGAUCACGGGCGGCGCCGUCCUCGCCGAGCACCCCAACCACACCAUCGCCACGGCGUGGUCCUCCGCCGGCGUCGGGUGCCCCACCAAGAAGCUCGUCAUCGUGUCGCCGGACACCGAGCUCAAGCGCGGCCGCAUCUACUUCCUCAUCCCGUCCGCGACGGUGCCGGCGGCCGACAGGAGGAAGAAGAGCCGGCCGGGCUCCAAGAAGAGCAAGCGGCCGAGCAGCCGGGGCAAGAGCGGCGGCACCGCGGAGCAGGACAACUACCUGACGGAGCUGCUGUCCGAGAAGACCGCGUCGGGCGCCCACCGGAGGCGGCGGAGCGGCUGCAGGGUCGGCGUGUGGCGGCCGGAGCUCGAGAGCAUAGUGGAGGAGGCCUCGGAGUAG